AAAUACACCCUCAGUUUGUAGAAGAAAUUACACACUGGACCACUUUUACCGCACUGCUUUUGCCCUCUAACGCCACCUGUUUCUCCCUCAUUUUCUCUGCAACUCCUUCCGGCAUCCCUUCGAUUCUCAAGUACCCAUCUUCUUCUUCGAAGCUACUCUCGAUUGUCGAUACCCCAUUUUGUUUCUCGCAUGGAUCCUUUAUCUGCUCUCCGGGAUUUUACCGUACGAGGCGAGUUGGACAAAAUCGUCAAGGUCGGCGACGAAUUCCGAUUUGGUAACGACUACAUCUUUUCCUGCGGAGCCGAGACUGCGUAUCGAUCCAAGCAAGGAAAUCUCUACACCCUCGAAACCCUUGUUUAUUACGUCAAGAAUCACCAUAUCAAGCACACUGAGUAUCUACAGAACGCUCGAACGCAGAAGAUCCCAGCUGUUACUCUACCCGAUCGUAAACCCUUACUCGAGUACCUCCAAGGCAAAGUUGCAUCAAACGAUGCCAUCGAAUUUGUCGUCCCGCAGAACCCCAGAGCCGCUGACCCUGUACCUAUCGACGUGGAAGAGUAUCGGCCGGAGGAUCCGGGAUUAAUCGGAAUUCGGUCUCCGGCCGAUGAAGUCGAAGAUGAGAAAUCUAGGGUUAGGGUUCCUGAGAAGGUCGAUUAUGUCUCUAUGAUCAAGUCUUGCGAGAGACCCUUGAAAGAUCGGGAGCUGUUGUUGGAGUGUAGGCAUAGAGACUUUUAUAGUGUUCUUGUAGCAUCGACGAGGCGGGAGGAGGAACGACAGCGAAUGGAGUCGCAGCAGAGAAAGGAUGGGUUGGUGGCCAAGAGCAGGUUGAUGGGAGCGGAUGACAGAGGUUUAGGGUUUUGGAAAGAUGGGGAGGAUAUGGGUUAUGAUUCUACACCGAAGCCAAAGAUGCAUUUGAAGGGGAGUAAGAUUGGUGAAGGUGUUCCGAUAAUUCUGGUCCCUAGUGCAUUCCAGACAUUGAUCACGAUUUAUAAUGUGAAAGAGUUUCUGGAAGAUGGGGUCUAUAUACCAACAGAUGUGAAGGUGAAGCAGAUGAAGGGAGCUAAGCCAGAUUGUGUAACUGUGCAGAAGAAGUUUAGUCGGGACCGGGUGGUGACAGCUUACGAGGUUAGAGAUAAACCAUCCAGUUUGAAGGCAGAGGAUUGGGAUAGGGUGGUUGCAGUUUUUGUAUUGGGAAAGGAAUGGCAGUUCAAGGAUUGGCCUUUUAAGGAUCAUGUUGAAAUAUUCAACAAAAUUAUUGGGUUUUUCAUGCGUUUUGAAGAUGACAGUGUUGAGUCAGCAAAGAUGGUGAAACAGUGGAAUGUGAAGAUCAUCUCGAUUAGCAAGAAUAAGAGACACCAGGACAGGGCUGCAGCUCUUGAGGUAUGGGACAGGCUAGAAGAGUUCAUGCGGUCACGGUCACAUAAUUGAAGUGCCAAGUUAAUUUGUAUGAAGGUAAAAUAAAGAAUGAGAAGAAAAGGAAAGAACAUAACCAGGAAUCCACCUUGAAUGUCGAUUAUAAGAGAUGAAAAAGAAAAUUUACAUCAAUCACUUAAUGUUGCUCGGUUGGACUUCCCGGUUGGGACAAACAAAGAUUGCCGGGUAUACGCAGAGAAUGCUUGGAGAUUAGCCAUUGGAUUCUAUGUCCUAAAUUCUGAUUAGGGUUUGGCUUGCAGUUUGAGACACUCCUGGGGAAACCCUGGCAUCUCUGGAGAUAGUGGCGUAAAGCAUGUUACUUGAGGAUGCAUCUCAUCUAUGUAUUUGCAUUUUGUAGCAAAGUGUACAGUAAACUUUGCUUUUCAGUUUUCUGUGUUGUUUUAAGACUCUUAACUACUUUCCACCAUGUAUCAAUCUCAAUUACCUUGAAAACAAUUCUUCUAAAUUGAAUUUUGCACCAGUUCCAGAAUA